UACGUAGGGUGCAAGCGUUUGUCCGGAAUUAUUGGGCGUAAAGAGCUCGUAGGCGGUCUGUUGCGUCGGCUGUGAAAACCCGGGGCUCAACUCCGGGCCUGCAGCCGAUACGGGCAGACUAGAGUUCGGCAGGGGAGACUGGAAUUCCUGGUGUAGCGGUGAAAUGCGCAGAUAUCAGGAGGAACACCGAUGGCGAAGGCAGAUCUCUGGGCCGUAACUGGACGCUGGAGGAGCGAAAGCAUGGGGAGCGAACAGG
rnacentral:rRNA from 1 species